AAAUCCGUUGUAUAAUCCGAAGACGUGAUGUGGAGCGAAAUAAAGUAGCAAAGCGUGUGAGCCAUGUGCCGAGAAAAGCUGCUAUUGUGUAAUGCGUGCCCGUACCGUAAACCGACACAGGUGGAUGAGGAGAGAAUCCUAAGGCCGACGGAAGAAGCAUUGUUAAGGAAUUCGGCAAAAUGACCCCGUAACUUCGGGAGAAGGGGUGCCUGCGAGAGUAGGCCGCAGAGAAUAGGCUCAAGCAACUGUUUAGCAAAAACACAGGUCUAUGCGAAACCGAAAGGUGAAGUAUAUGGGCUGACGCCUGCCCGGUGCUGGAAGGUUAAGAGGAGAGGUUAGCGUAAGCGAGCUUUGAAUUUAAGCCCCAGUAAACGGCGGCCGUAACAAUAACGGUCCUAAGGUAGCGAAAUUCCUUGUCGGGUAAGUUCCGACCCGCACGAAAGGCGUAAUGAUUUGAGCACUGUCUCGACAAUGCAUCCGGUGAAAUUGAAGUACCAGUGAAGAUGCUGGUUACCCGCGCCAGGACGGAAAGACCCCAUGGAGCUUUACUCCAGUUUGAUACUGGGAUUCGGUACUGCAUGUACAGGAUAGGUGGGAGACGAAGAAGGAUGGACGCCAGUCUGUCCGGAGUCGCUGUUGGGAUACCACCCCUGUAGUACUGGGUUUCUAACCAGUUGCCAUGAACUGGCAAUGGGACAAUGUCAGGCGGGGAGUUUGACUGGGGCGGUCGCCUCCGAAAGGGUAUCGGAGGCGCUCAAAGGUUCCCUCAGAAUGGUUGGAAACCAUUUGAAGAGUGCAAAGGCAGAAGGGAGCUUGACUGCGACACCGACGGGUGGAGCAGGUACGAAAGUAGGACUUAGUGAUCCGGUGGUAUAAAGUGGGAUUGCCAUCGCUCAACGGAUAAAAGCUACCCUGGGAUAACAGGCUUAUCACUCCCAAGAGUUCACAUCGACGGAGUGGUUUGGCACCUCGAUGUCGGCUCAUCGCAUCCUGGGGCUGUAGCAGGUCCCAAGGGUUGGGCUGUUCGCCCAUUAAAGCGGUACGCGAGCUGGGUUCAGAACGUCGUGAGACAGUUCGGUCCCUAUCCGGCGCGGGCGGAGGAUAUUUGAGAGGAGCUGUCCUUAGUACGAGAGGACCGGGAUGGACGGACCACUGGUGUAUCUGUUGUCGACCAACGGCAUGGCAGAGUAGCCAAGUCUGGAAGGGAUAAACGCUGAAGGCAUCUAAGCGUGAAGCCCCCCUCAAGAUGAGAUAUCCCUCCUUCGGGAGUAAGACCCCUUGAAGACUACAAGGUAGAUAGGGCAGAGGUGGAAGCAUGGCAACAUGUGUAGCUGACUGUUACUAAUAGGUCGAGGGCUUAAUU
rnacentral:rRNA from 1 species